ACUGGAAGUUAGCCGGACUUAUUCUCCCGGUACUGUCAUUAUCAUCCCGGGUAAAAGAGCUUUACAACCCUAAGGCCUUCAUCACUCACGCGGCAUUGCUGGAUCAGGCUUUCGCCCAUUGUCCAAUAUUCCCUACUGCUGCCUCCCGUAGGAGUCUGGGCCGUGUCUCAGUCCCAGUGUGGCUGAUCAUCCUCUCAGACCAGCUAAGGAUCGUCGCCUUGGUGGGCCUUUACCCCACCAACUAGCUAAUCCUACGCGGGCUCAUCCUUGGGCGAUAAAUCUUUGGACUUACGUCAUCAUCCGGUAUUAGCUUCCGUUUCCAGAAGUUAUUCCGAACCCAAGGGCAGAUUCCCACGCGUUACGCACCCGUGCGCCACUAGAUCCGAAGAUCUCGUUCGACUUGCAUGUAUUAGGCAUGCCGCCAGCGUUCGUUCUGAGCCAGGAUCAAACUCUA
rnacentral:rRNA from 1 species